rnacentral:lncRNA from 1 species
GCCCAGAAAACAGAAGACAACCUAUUCACAUUUCAAAGCAUAGUAGAUGAUGUAUUUGUUAUCAUUGAAAAUGCACAUUGAUAAGAGCCAUGAAGACUGGGAGCUUGAUCAGCAGUGUUUCCGUGCUUUCGAGGUCAACCUGAACCCCUGGGAGCCUGCCUUCUGUGACCGUCACACCAGCAGACAGCUGCACUGUCCACGCUGCUGUGAGGACUUCUAGGCUUCUCUUCUCCCUACUGCCUGGUAUCCUAGAACACCCAUCUAUACAUCUGACUCUCCUAGUCCCCAGGUGGCAGACACAAGUUGCCUCCAGCAAACCAGGUUAAAGAGGGCUUCUCAGAAGAUGGUCCUAGGAAGUCAUGCUACUACAUGAAUGAAAGUAAAAUUGGAUCCCCACCUACCACUACGUCCCAGGUAAACUCUAGAUUGAUUAAAGACCAGUAUCUGAAAGCUGAAACAAUGGGAUUAAUAGAAGUAAGUGUGGGUGAAUAUCUCAGUGACCUGGGGGAGUAGAGAACUUCUUAAACUAAACCUCAAAAGCAUGAAGGUCCUUGAAUACUUUUUCCUUACCUUGGUUUUCCAGUCCUCCCCGACUCUUAAUCUGCCUUUCUCAAUUGCCAAGAGAUCAUCUUUUGUUUAAAAGUAAAAGUAGUACAAUAAAACUUUCAACUCUCCCUUCCUGUGAAUAGUC